rnacentral:rRNA from 1 species
AGAUUAAGUUAUUAAGGGCGCACGGUGGAUGCCUUGGCACUAGAAGCCGACGAAGGACGUUACUAACGACGAUAUGCUUUGGGGAGCUGUAAGUAAGCUUUGAUCCAGAGAUUUCCGAAUGGGGAAACCCAGCACGAGUUAUGUCGUGUUAUCGAUAUGUGAAUACAUAGCAUAUCUGAAGGCAGACGCGGAGAACUGAAACAUCUUAGUACCCGCAGGAAGAGAAAGAAAAAUCGAUUCCCUGAGUAGCGGCGAGCGAAACGGGAAGAGCCCAAACCAACGAGCUUGCUUGUUGGGGUUGUAGGACACUCUAUACGGAGUUACAAAAGAACAGACUAGACGAAUCAUCUGGAAAGAUGAAUCAAAGAAGGUAAUAAUCCUGUAGUCGAAAGUUUGUUCACUCUUGAGUGGAUCCUGAGUACGACGGAACACGAGAAAUUCCGUCGGAAUCUGGGAGGACCAUCUCCCAAGGCUAAAUACUCUCUAGUGACCGAUAGUGAACCAGUACCGUGAGGGAAAGGUGAAAAGUACCCCGGAAGGGGAGUGAAAUAGAACUUGAAACCGUGUGCUUACAAGUAGUCAGAGCCCGUUAAUGGGUGAUGGCGUGCCUUUUGUAGAAUGAACCGGCGAGUUACGAUUUGAUGCAAGGUUAAGCAGUGAAUGUGGAGCCGUAGCGAAAGCGAGUCUGAAUAGGGCGUUGAGUAUUUGGUCGUAGACCCGAAACCAGGUGAUCUACCCAUGACCAGGUUGAAGUUCAGGUAACACUGAAUGGAGGACCGAACCGACUUACGUUGAAAAGUGAGCGGAUGAGUUGUGGGUAGCGGAGAAAUUCCAAUCGAACCUGGAGAUAGCUGGUUCUCUCCGAAAUAGCUUUAGGGCUAGCCUCAAGUGAUGAUUAUUGGAGGUAGAGCACUGUUUGGACGAGGGGCCCUUAUCGGGUUACCGAAUUCAGACAAACUCCGAAUGCCAAUCAAUUUAACUUGGGAGUCAGAACGCGGGUGAUAAGGUCCGUGUUCGAAAGGGAAACAGCCCAGACCACCAGCUAAGGUCCCAAAAUAUAUGUUAAGUGGAAAAGGAUGUGGCGUUGCCCAGACAACUAGGAUGUUGGCUUAGAAGCAGCCAUCAUUUAAAGAGUGCGUAAUAGCUCACUAGUCGAGUGACACUGCGCCGAAAAUGUACCGGGGCUAAACAUAUUACCGAAGCUGUGGAUUGUCCGUAAGGACAAUGGUAGGAGAGCGUUCUAAGGGCGUUGAAGCAUGAUCGCAAGGACAUGUGGAGCGCUUAGAAGUGAGAAUGCCGGUGUGAGUAGCGAAAGACGGGUGAGAAUCCCGUCCACCGAUUGACUAAGGUUUCCAGAGGAAGGCUCGUCCGCUCUGGGUUAGUCGGGUCCUAAGCUGAGGCCGAUAGGCGUAGGCGAUGGAUAACAGGUUGAUAUUCCUGUACCACCAUUAUUCGUUUUAAGCGAUGGGGGGACGCAGUAGGAUAGGCGAAGCGUACGAUUGGAUUGUACGUCCAAGCAGUGAGAUUGAGUGUUAGGCAAAUCCGCCACUCUUAAGAUUGAGCUGUGAUGGGGAGAGGAAAUUGUUUCCUCGAGUCGUUGAUUUCACACUGCCAAGAAAAGCCUCUAGCUAGAAUUGUGGUGCCCGUACCGCAAACCGACACAGGUAGUCAAGAUGAGAAUUCUAAGGUGAGCGAGCGAACUCUCGUUAAGGAACUCGGCAAAAUGACCCCGUAACUUCGGGAGAAGGGGUGCUCUUUAGGGUUAACGCCCAGGAGAGCCGCAGUGAAUAGGCCCAAGCGACUGUUUAUCAAAAACACAGGUCUCUGCUAAACCGUAAGGUGAUGUAUAGGGGCUGACGCCUGCCCGGUGCUGGAAGGUUAAGAGGAGUGGUUAGCUUCUGCGAAGCUACGAAUCGAAGCCCCAGUAAACGGCGGCCGUAACUAUAACGGUCCUAAGGUAGCGAAAUUCCUUGUCGGGUAAGUUCCGACCCGCACGAAAGGCGUAACGAUUUGGGCACUGUCUCAACGAGAGACUCGGUGAAAUCAUAGUACCUGUGAAGAUGCAGGUUACCCGCGACAGGACGGAAAGACCCCGUGGAGCUUUACUGUAGUCUGAUAUUGAAAUUCGGCACAGCUUGUACAGGAUAGGUAGGAGCCUGAGAUACGUGAGCGCUAGCUUACGUGGAGGCGUUGGUGGGAUACUACCCUCGCUGUGUUGGAUUUCUAACCCGCACCAUUUAUCAUGGUGGGAGACAGUGUCAGAUGGGCAGUUUGACUGGGGCGGUCGCCUCCUAAAGAGUAACGGAGGCGCUCAAAGGUUUCCUCAGAAUGGUUGGAAAUCAUUCAUAGAGUGUAAAGGCAUAAGGAAGCUUGACUGCGAGACUUACAAGUCGAGCAGGGUCGAAAGACGGACUUAGUGAUCCGGUGGUUCCGCAUGGAAGGGCCAUCGCUCAACGGAUAAAAGCUACCCCGGGGAUAACAGGCUUAUCUCCCCCAAGAGUUCACAUCGACGGGGAGGUUUGGCACCUCGAUGUCGGCUCAUCGCAUCCUGGGGCUGUAGUCGGUCCCAGGGUUGGGCUGUUCGCCCAUUAAAGCGGUACGCGAGCUGGGUUCAGAACGUCGUGAGACAGUUCGGUCCCUAUCCGUCGUGGGCGUAGGAAAUUUGAGAGGAGCUGUCCUUAGUACGAGAGGACCGGGAUGGACAUACCUCUGGUGUACCAGUUGUCGUGCCAACGGCAUCGCUGGGUAGCUAUGUAUGGACGGGAUAAGUGCUGAAAGCAUCUAAGCAUGAAGCCCCCCUCAAGAUGAGAUUUCCCAACUUCGGUUAUAAGAUCCCUCAAAGAUGAUGAGGUUAAUAGGUUCGAGGUGGAAGCAUAGCGAUAUGUGCAGCUGACGAAUACUAAUCGAUCGAAGACUUAAUCAAAUUUUA